UUUAGUCACUUGAUAUCAGUAAUUUUUUUUAUGCUAAAACGUUUGCCUUCAGGAUUGUUAUGCCAAAAAAAUUUUUUUUUUAAAUUGUGAAACAUUGAUAUCGUUUGUCAUACUUUGACAAUCCGGUGGUAGGCCUAAUAUUGUGAAAAUAAAAAUGCUAAAGAAAAAAAAGUUAUUCAUAAAUAAUUAUUUUGGUUUGUUUUUAAGUUAAAAUAGUGAAAGUCUGUGCAAAGGCUGUAUCAUUACAUUUUCAGGAACAUCACACCGCGCACUCUUUCAAAGAUAUACGAGUUCCGCUCAAAGAUAUACGAGUUCCGCAACAGCCUCUAAUAAAAAAAAAAAAAUGCGUGUUUCUUGUCAGACUGCUUAUCUUGUUCCAUAUAUAAACAAUGCUCUUCAGAUGAGCGGCCCGAAAUAGUCUGUAAUCUGUGUGCACGCUGUUACAAAGAUCACCACGUGCUUUUCCUUCCCCUUCAGGUCCGGUUACCAUAGCGACGACCAAGCAAAUCCGUGAUUGGUUGCUUAGGCGUGACGCAGGAUGCAUUUAGGGAAUCCCGUCAGCUGUGCUGCGGCACGUUUCAAAACUCUCCAGCGCACUCUCUUCUAGCGCGGUGCGACUUUAGCGUUACUCGGGAUCAGAGCACACGCUGCUUGAGUUAUUGUGCGAGAGGAAGAUGUGUCAUGUGCAGCAAGGGAGCAAGACAGCGUUGACUUUGUGAAUAAAUCAUUUAUAACCUGCGGGAACAUCCAGAAGCCGAAAGGAAAGAGGUUCAAAAUCCCGACGUUUUCUGUUCGAGACAGGUAUGUUCUCAGAUGCCUUGGAGGCUGUAGGACAGGUGGAGGGUUUGACGCUGUCCCCUCCACAGACUCUCCCAGACCCCCGAUGAUGAGGUGGAGCUGGGCACCGAAACAAAAAGACGAGGCAGAUAUCGCCAAAGCUUACAGAUACUCAAGCCCUUUCGGAUCACACACAAGUAAGUUCUUCUGCACUGAAAAAAAAUAGACUAAGUUUUUCUUGAGGUAAGUGGUUGCAAACUAUUUAUUUUAGCUACAUUUAAAAAAAAAUGUUGAAAGUUAGUCAACUACAGUAAAAAAAAAAUAAAAAUUAAAAUAAGUUAAAAAAGUUAAAAUAAAUUGCUUUGCAACCACACUUACCUUAAAAAAAAAUUGUAAAGUCAAUUAAUAAUUUUUGUAUUUUUUUUUUCAGUGUGGAUAUAGUUGUUAUAACCAUAUAAAAUAAUAUUUGGGUAGUUAGCAAAUGGAUUAAAGACUAAAAUUAUAAUUUUUUAAAAUGUAAAAACAAGGUGUAAUUGACUUUGACACAUUGUUUCCAACAGUUAGACUCCCAUAUGCACAAAUACAUAAAGCUUAUUUUAUGAUUUUUAAUGCUUAAAAUGUGGAAGAAUCACUUUACAGGACAUAAAUGAAUAUAUAAAACUUAUAAUUAUAUAAGUUUCACAAACUACAAUAGGAGACUCACAUUUUACUUCUACACAGCGUCUCUGUACGUGCUACUGCUUUGUAAUAUUUCUUUAAUAACUGCCAUAAAUUAAGUGGUUAUUUAUUAGGAGACACAUUUACAUUCCAAAUAAUAAUUAACCUACUUUAACUACAAACCUUAAAAUGAAGCUAUGAGCUGCUUUUAUCAUCUGAAUCUGUCACUUAAAUAAAUAGAAAUAGUUUGUUUGCAUCACUGUGCAUUUAUCCUGCAUUAAACAUGAUCGGUGUCAUUUUUAUCAAUGAAUAUUUCACAUCGGUUGCUUCACAUAAGCCUCUAUUGUAAAAGCUUACAUUUAUAGAGUAUUUUCAACAUGUUUUCUGAUGAGUUUGGUGUAACUUAUAUUACACUUAUGUAAUAUAAUGCUUAUGCACACAGUGUGAAACCUGUUAAUAGGAGGCCACAAUAAACAUAUAAAGCACUGAAAUACUUUUGGUGAAGGUGUGAAAGAGGCAUUAGGAGAUGUUUCCUAUGUUGCCAUUUGGACUCAAGUGACAGUCAGUGAGGUCCUGAUAAGAACGCUCUUAUCCUUUACAAACAGACAGCUUGAUUUUUAACAUGCUGACUGAUAAAGAGCCACUGAACUGAACUUUUUCACUGCUUCGUAAGAGUUCUGAGAGGGACGUGCAAACUGCUGUUCAAACACGAACGUGUGAUUCAUCUCCUGUUUGGCCGCAGCGAGUAAAGAUUUUCUCUCGCGUUCAAGAUACAUAGCACAUAGCGCCUAGAUGACCGAUACGAGCCAAACUCUUCCAUUUUCACCCCCAGACAUCAGCACCCGGUGGACAAUGCAGGAUUUUUCUCCUUCAUGACCCUGCAAUGGCUGUCCCCUCUGGCAUGGAGGGCCCACAAAGAGUCCUGUCUCAAGAUAGAAGACGUGUGGGGUCUGUCUUGCCACGAAGCCUCAGAAACGAACUGCCAAAGGUGAGCUACUGGCCAAAACCUUCUGAUCCAAGGUUUGUCUGCUGAUUUUUAAAACAAAUUAACAAAAAAACCUAUAAUAAUUAGAUACAAAUUAAUGAUAAAAUUAUUCCUAUUUAAGCCAGCAAAUAACUGCACUAACACAUUUAUUAAUACUGGACACCAGGGGGCGCCCUCAUGCGGAAACUUCACAUAUGCAUCACAGAAGUAAUAAAACUCAUGACAUUCCAGGAAAUCCCUAAUAUGGACAAUUGUAUCCAGCUAUCACUGUGACUGAGUAAAAACAAGAUAGAAACGCUUGAACCAAUUAAACAUUUAGACAGUAAACACAUGACGCAUCAAUACAGGCUUUUUCUGUGUUCUUCAAGCCGUCUUGAGUAUUUUUAUAAUAAUAAGAAUCCAAUGCUUAUCGA
rnacentral:lncRNA from 1 species